rnacentral:rRNA from 1 species
UACAGAGGUCUCAAGCGUUGUUCGGAUUCAUUGGGCGUAAAGGGUGCGUAGGUGGCGCCAUAAGUCAGGUGUGAAAUCUCGGGGGCUCAACCCCGAAACUGCAUUUGAUACUGUGGUGCUCGAGUACUGGAGAGGAGAUUUGGAAUUUACGGGUGUAGCAGUGAAAUGCGUAGAUAUCGUAAGGAAGACCAGUGGCGAAGGCGAAUCUCUGGACAGUUACUGACACUGAGGCACGAAGGCCAGGGGAGCAAACGGG